AAACCGACACAGGUGGUCAGGUAGAGAAUACCAAGGCGCUUGAGAGAACUCGGGUGAAGGAACUAGGCAAAAUGGUGCCGUAACUUCGGGAGAAGGCACGCUGAUAUGUAGGUGAAGCGACUUGCUCGUGGAGCUGAAAUCAGUCGAAGAUACCAGCUGGCUGCAACUGUUUAUUAAAAACACAGCACUGUGCAAACACGAAAGUGGACGUAUACGGUGUGACGCCUGCCCGGUGCCGGAAGGUUAAUUGAUGGGGUUAGCGGUAACGCGAAGCUCUUGAUCGAAGCCCCGGUAAACGGCGGCCGUAACUAUAACGGUCCUAAGGUAGCGAAAUUCCUUGUCGGGUAAGUUCCGACCUGCACGAAUGGCGUAAUGAUGGCCAGGCUGUCUCCACCCGAGACUCAGUGAAAUUGAACUCGCUGUGAAGAUGCAGUGUACCCGCGGCAAGACGGAAAGACCCCGUGAACCUUUACUAUAGCUUGACACUGAACAUUGAGCCUUGAUGUGUAGGAUAGGUGGGAGGCUUUGAAGUGUGGACGCCAGUCUGCAUGGAGCCGACCUUGAAAUACCACCCUUUAAUGUUUGAUGUUCUAACGUUGGCCCGUAAUCCGGGUUGCGGACAGUGUCUGGUGGGUAGUUUGACUGGGGCGGUCUCCUCCUAAAGAGUAACGGAGGAGCACGAAGGUUGGCUAAUCCUGGUCGGACAUCAGGAGGUUAGUGCAAUGGCAUAAGCCAGCUUGACUGCGAGCGUGACGGCGCGAGCAGGUGCGAAAGCAGGUCAUAGUGAUCCGGUGGUUCUGAAUGGAAGGGCCAUCGCUCAACGGAUAAAAGGUACUCCGGGGAUAACAGGCUGAUACCGCCCAAGAGUUCAUAUCGACGGCGGUGUUUGGCACCUCGAUGUCGGCUCAUCACAUCCUGGGGCUGAAGUAGGUCCCAAGGGUAUGGCUGUUCGCCAUUUAAAGUGGUACGCGAGCUGGGUUUAGAACGUCGUGAGACAGUUCGGUCCCUAUCUGCCGUGGGCGCUGGAGAACUGAGGGGGGCUGCUCCUAGUACGAGAGGACCGGAGUGGACGCAUCACUGGUGUUCGGGUUGUCAUGCCAAUGGCACUGCCCGGUAGCUAAAUGCGGAAGAGAUAAGUGCUGAAAGCAUCUAAGCACGAAACUUGCCCCGAGAUGAGUUCUCCCUGACUCCUUGAGGGUCCUGAAGGAACGUUGAAGACGACGACGUUGAUAGGCCGGGUGUGUAAGCGCAGCGAUGCGUUGAGCUAACCGGUACUAAUGAACCGUGAGGCUUAACC
rnacentral:rRNA from 1 species